rnacentral:rRNA from 1 species
UACGAAGGGGGCGAGCGUUGUCCGGAAUCAUUGGGCGUAAAGAGCGUGUAGGCGGCUUCGUCAGUCCGUUGUGAAAGUCCAGGGCUCAACCCUGGAAUGCCGAUGGAUACUGCGGAGCUAGAGUCCGGAAGAGGCGAGUGGAAUUCCUGGUGUAGCGGUGAAAUGCGCAGAUAUCAGGAGGAACACCUAUGGCGAAGGCAGCUCGCUGGGACGGCACUGACGCUGAGACGCGAAAGCGUGGGGAGCAAACAGG